rnacentral:rRNA from 1 species
GAUGAACGCUGGCGGCGUGCCUAAUACAUGCAAGUCGAGCGAACGGACGAGAAGCUUGCUUCUCUGAUGUUGGCGGCGGACGGGUGAGUAACACGUGGAUAACCUACCUAUAAGACUGGGAUAACUUCGGGAAACCGGAGCUAAUACCGGAUAAUAUUUUGAACCGCAUGGUUCAAAAGUGAAAGACGGUCUUGCUGUCACUUAUAGAUGGAUCCGCUCUGCAUUAGCUAGUUGGUAAGGUAACGGCUUACCAAGGCAACGAUGCAUAGCCGACCUGAGAGGGUGAUCGGCCACACUGGAACUGAGACACGGUCCAGACUCCUACGGGAGGCAGCAGUAGGGAAUCUUCCGCAAUGGGCGAAAGCCUGACGGAGCAACGCCGCGUGAGUGAUGAAGGUCUUCGGAUCGUAAAACUCUGUUAUUAGGGAAGAACAUAUGUGUAAGUAACUGUGCACAUCUUGACGGUACCUAAUCAGAAAGCCACGGCUAACUACGUG